UACGGGGGGGGGCAAGCGUUGUUCGGAUUCAUUGGGCGUAAAGGGUGCGUAGGCGGGUCUUUAAGUCAGAGGUGAAAUCCUGGAGCUCAACUCCAGAACUGCCUUUGAUACUGAGGAUCUUGAGUUCGGGAGAGGUGAGUGGAACUGCGAGUGUAGAGGUGAAAUUCGUAGAUAUUCGCAAGAACACCAGUGGCGAAGGCGGCUCACUGGCCCGAUACUGACGCUGAGGCACGAAAGCGUGGGGAGCAAACAGG
rnacentral:rRNA from 1 species